UGGCUCAGUUGGUAGGGCAUGGUGUGUGCAACGCCAGGGUUGUGGGUUCGAUUCCCAC
rfam:Salmo salar isolate Sally breed double haploid chromosome ssa09, whole genome shotgun sequence.